rnacentral:rRNA from 1 species
GGGGCGGCGUGCUAUACAUGCAAGUCGAGCGGACCUCUUCGGAGRUCAGCGGCGGACGGGUGAGUAACACGUGGGCAACCUGCCUGUAAGACUGGGAUAACUCCGGGAAACCGGAGCUAAUACCGGAUACUAUGUCAAACCGCAUGGUUUGACAUUCAAAGACGGUUUCGGCUGUCACUUACAGAUGGGCCCGCGGCGCAUUAGCUAGUUGGUGAGGUAAUGGCUCACCAAGGCGACGAUGCGUAGCCGACCUGAGAGGGUGAUCGGCCACACUGGGACUGAGACACGGCCCAGACUCCUACGGGAGGCAGCAGUAGGGAAUCUUCCGCAAUGGACGAAAGUCUGACGGAGCAACGCCGCGUGAGUGAUGAAGGUUUUCGGAUCGUAAAACUCUGUUGUCAGGGAAGAACAAGUGCCGGAGUAACUGCCGGCACCUUGACGGUACCUGACCAGAAAGCCACGGCUAACUACGUGCCAGCAGCCGCGGUAAUACGUAGGUGGCAAGCGUUGUCCGGAAUUAUUGGGCGUAAAGCGCGCGCAGGCGGUUUCUUAAGUCUGAUGUGAAAGCCCCCGGCUCAACCGGGGAGGGUCAUUGGAAACUGGGAAACUUGAGUGCAGAAGAGGAGAGUGGAAUUCCACGUGUAGCGGUGAAAUGCGUAGAGAUGUGGAGGAACACCAGUGGCGAAGGCGACUCUCUGGUCUGUAACUGACGCUGAGGCGCGAAGCGUGGGGAGCGAACAGGAUUAGAUACCCUGGUAGUCCACGCCGUAAACGAUGAGUGCUAAGUGUUAGAGGGUUUCCGCCCUUUAGUGCUGCAGCUAACGCAUUAAGCACUCCGCCUGGGGAGUACGGUCGCAAGACUGAAACUCAAAGGAAUUGACGGGGGCCCGCACAAGCGGUGGAGCAUGUGGGUUUAAUUUCGAAGCAACGCGAAGAACCCUUACCCAGUCUUGACAUCCCUUUUGGCCACUUCUAGAAGAUAAGAAGAUCCCCUUUCGGGGACAAGUUGACAGUUGAUUGCAUGCUGUCGUCAGCUCGUGUCGUUGAGAUGGCUUGGAUUAGUUCCCCGCAAACGAGCGGUCA